AAAACUUUCAACAACGGAUCUCUUGGUUCUGGCAUCGAUGAAGAACGCAGCGAAAUGCGAUAAGUAAUGUGAAUUGCAGAAUUCAGUGAAUCAUCGAAUCUUUGAACGCACAUUGCGCCCCCUGGUAUUCCGGGGGGCAUGCCUGUUCGAGCGUCAUUU
rnacentral:rRNA from 20 species